AACGAACGCUGGCGGCAGGCCUAACACAUGCAAGUCGAACGCAUCGCAAGAUGAGUGGCACACGGGUGAGUAACACGUGGGAAUGUAUCCUUUGGUUCGGAAUAACGUCUGGAAACGGACGCUAAUACCGGAUGAGCCCUUAGGGGGAAAGAUUUAUCGCCGAAGGAGCAGCCCGCGUCUGAUUAGGUAGUUGGUGGGGUAAAGGCCUACCAAGCCGACGAUCAGUAGCUGGUCUGAGAGGAUGAUCAGCCACACUGGGACUGAGACACGGCCCAGACUCCUACGGGAGGCAGCAGUGGGGAAUAUUGGACAAUGGGCGCAAGCCUGAUCCAGCCAUGCCGCGUGAGUGAUGAAGGCCUUCGGGUUGUAAAGCUCUUUCGCACACGACGAUGAUGACGGUAGUGUGAGAAGAAGCCCCGGCUAACUUCGUGCCAGCAGCCGCCGUAAGAC
rnacentral:rRNA from 1 species